UCUAAUCUUAUUAAAAAAAUUCUCCAGGCAUACCUUCUUCAACGUCUUCGGCUUUCACUUUAAAGAGAGAGAAGCCGAGGAUCUCACUCCUAACCCAAAAAAUUCGGCUUUCACUUUAAAGAGAGAGAAGCCGAGGAUCUCACUCCUAACCCAAAAAAGUCAGACUGGGGACUGAGGAUCCUUCUAUUUCAAGCAUUUGACUUUUAUUUCCUUGAAAAAAGUCUAGGCCAGGUAUUCAUCCUGUUAAUUCGGCAAAUAUUUGUUGCUUGUUAAUAGGCAACAUCUGAGCAACACCUGGAUGAAGAAUAGGAGUACCAUCUAUGACCAUUUCAAACAUGAGUUUCAUAUCUUGUAAGGUUAUAGUCGCUUCACCCGUUCUCAGGUGAAAGGUAUGUGUUUCUGGUCGCCACCUUUCAACAAGUGCAAUAAUAAGGGGAAAAUCGCAGGGAACGAAUCCAACAUCUAUAACGCCUCUAAAACCACAAAUAUUAAAAUAAUUAAGAAGACGAGGAUGAAAUGAAUGAUUUCUAACAUGUUGCCAAAAACCAUUAUCAUCACGCCGCACUAUCAAACAUGCCUUUUCUCUUUUUAAUGUGUCUUUACGAAUAGCUUCAGACCGAUGAUUAUUUUGCGUGGCAUAUACGUCAUACUAUGAUGGUCCUGGAUGCGCAAAGUGUUGAUAUUCCAUAUAUAUACAAAAAGAAGAUUAAAAUUAGUUCUGAGCAUACAACUAAAGGGCAAACUUUUACACAUGCAUAACAAUACUAACUUAACGUAGGUUUAGGCUUAAUAAGUUGAUAUGAUAACAACAAUAUUUGACAAAUUAGUAAGCUACAAAAAUGAUUAAUAAUAUUAUACUGCAUACUUGCUUGUUAGGUAUUGAAAAAUAUUAAAUAAAAAAGUGAUUAAAGUAGUAUACCUAAAGUGCAAAUUUAUUGAGAAAGUAGACUUUGAGCAAAAAUAAAUACAUCUAAUAUAGAUGAAACUAGUGAAGUGAAAAAAUGAAUGAAAUGGGCGGUAUAUAAAAGAAAAUUAAUAAGGUAAGGAACACGGUUUACCUUGUAAGGUAAGAGACACAGUUUACCUUGUAAGGUAAGAGACACAAUUUACCUUAUAAGGUAAACUCACUACUUUACCUUAUAAGAUAAACUCAUCAUUUUACCUUACAUUCUAACAUUUGAACUAACGGUGUUAACUUUGUAAUAGACAAAGGUAAACACAUGUGUUUACCUUGUCCCUUUUGGAAUUUUUCAAUAUUGGGGUGCCCUUUUGAAAUUUUGACUAAAAAAACUUGCCUUUUAGGCUCCAGACUCUAGUUUUGAUCCAAUCAAUUAGUAACAACAUGGUAUAUUUAGACCAAUCUAUUAGUGGAGGACAUUUUUAUUCAAUUUCACAUAAUUUAAGGGCAUCCUUGACCCCUUUUUUCCAUAUUGGAAGUUACUUAGACCUAGAAAUAGAAGCUAGAACAUUUAUAUUUGCAUUUUGUUUUGAAAAUAUUACUUUGGCUUUGUGUUUGUAGCUUGACUGCAUGAGUAUAGCAUUAUCUCUGGCUCAAGAUGAUGCUUUUUGUUGUAGUAUCUUAGCCUCUUAGCAGGUUCAAGGUGAUGAAAAGAGACUAGUAUUGAAGAUGGAAAAAGACACAUGCAAGUUGCAAAUCUUACUUGUAGGUGCACGUCAGGAUGCUACGAAUAUGCAUGUCGUGUACUAAACUACAACCAUAAAAAUAAGAGAAAGAUCUAGACUACUAUCAUAUGGAAGAUUAUUACAUCAAUUUAAUGGUUGGCAUGCACAUAAAUAUAUGUUUUAGAGAUAAAAACAAGAACUUGAAUAUUUUUUUAGAAAGAAAAAUGUUGUCUAAUAAAACGGCAUAGUGAUCAUAUCGUGUUGCAAGAGAAUAUUGAG
rnacentral:lncRNA from 1 species